CACUUUCAACAACGGAUCUCUUGGCUCUCGCAUCGAUGAAGAACGUAGC
rnacentral:rRNA from 1 species